AUCAAUGGUGGGGCGUGCAGGGGAGCCGAAAGGCUCGCCGGGUUCUUUCGUGACCGGUACUGCGAACCUUGUACGUCUCACCACCCCG
rnacentral:antisense_RNA from 18 species